GCACCUACGGGGGGCAGCAGUGAGGAAUAUUGGUCAAUGGGCGAGAGCCUGAACCAGCCAAGUCGCGUGAGGGAGUACUGCCCUAUGGGUUGUAAACCUCUUUUGUCGGGGAGCAAAAGCCGGACGUGUCCGGCUGUGAGAGUACCCGAAGAAAAAGCAUCGGCUAACUCCGUGCCAGCAGCCGCGGUAAUACGUAGGGGGCAAGCGUUAUCCGGAUUUACUGGGUGUAAAGGGGGCGCAGACGGCGAUGCAAGCCAGGAGUGAAAGCCCGGGGCCCAACCCCGGGACUGCUCUUGGAACUGCGG
rnacentral:rRNA from 1 species